rnacentral:lncRNA from 1 species
CAGCCUGGUGGUCCAGAGUCACAAAGACCCUGGCCUGCUGUGAUAUUGGUUUUAUGUAUUUGGGAUCUGGCUUGGGGAGAGGCCACAUGAAUAUGACAAAAAUCUAGAUGUCUAGGUCAUGAGUUCAUGGGUGUUUGUGCUAUUUUUCUCUGAGCUUUCAUUUAACAUUUUACCAAAUAAUCAAAAAGAAAAGUCAUUUUCUUGCCCCCUUGAUGGUAGAUUCUUUGCAGACUGGGUCUGUUUUGUCCUCAGUUUUUGGAUUCCCACACAGAGACUGGCUCGUUGCUAACGACCACUUGUUAGGUAGAAGUUUGGUCCAUUGAGUUGAGGAAAGUGCCUCCUAAAAUUCUUCAGUUGUUAGUGUGGAGAGGCGUCUCUCUUG